rnacentral:rRNA from 1 species
UCCUGGCUCAGGACGAACGCUGGCGGCGUGCCUAACACAUGCAAGUCGAGCGGGGAGAAAUAUUCGUAUUUCUCUUUAGCGGCGGACGGGUGAGUAACACGUGGGUAACCUGCCUCAAAGUGGGGGAUAGCCUUCCGAAAGGAAGAUUAAUACCGCAUAAUAUCAUGGCGCUGCAUGGCGCWGUGAUUAAAGGAGCAAUCCGCUUUGAGAUGGACCCGCGGCGCAUUAGCUAGUUGGUGAGGUAACGGCCCACCAAGGCGACGAUGCGUAGCCGACCUGAGAGGGUGAUCGGCCACAUUGGAACUGAGACACGGUCCAGACUCCUACGGGAGGCAGCAGUGGGGAAUAUUGCACAAUGGGGGAAACCCUGAUGCAGCAACGCCGCGUGAGUGAUGAAGGCCUUCGGGUCGUAAAGCUCUUUGAUCAGGGACGAUAAUGACGGUACCUGAAAAACAAGCCACGGCUAACUACGUGCCAGCAGCCGCGGUAAUACGUAGGUGGCGAGCGUUGUCCGGAUUUACUGGGCGUAAAGAAUGCGUUGGUGGAUAUUUAAGUGGGAUGUGAAAUCCCCGGGCUCAACCCGGGAACUGCAUACCAAACUGGAUAUCUGGAGUGCACGAC